GGUGGCUUUUAUCCUCUUAGGGCUGCACACCGGAGGAUGGAGGGCGGCGGAGAGGAAGGAACGCGUGCCCUUAAACACUUGCUGCUGCUCCCCCAGAUGGUCUGGGGGCGGCCAGCACCAGGGAUGACCUCUGCGGCACCAGGCGCAGAGGCCUGGGACCCUCUGAGCAGAGCUGAGGAGCAGGGAACCAGGAAGCCAACCCAGCCCAUCGUCGUCUUGGUGCUUGGCCUUUCUUCAGGAUUUGUUCGGUCUUUUUCCAUCAUCUCCUUAAAAUAUUUUUCUCCUGAGUUUUCUGCUAGUUACAAGACUCACAGUCUCCUCUGGCCACACUCCCAAACUUGCAAACAGAAGUAUUAUUGAGAAAACACCAUGGGAAGCUUGUCUUUAAAGAAGGAAGCCUCGGUGUCCCCUUGUAGCUCGACGGGUUAAGAAUCCCCUUAGUAUCCAAGAGGAUGCGGGUUCAAUCCCUGCCCUUGCUCAGGAUCCGGCAUUGCCGACAGCUGUGGGGUAGGUCGAAGACUCAGCAAGGAUCUUGUGUUGUUGUGGCAUUGGCUGGCAGCUACAGCUCUGAUUGGACCCCUAGCCUGGGAGCCUCUGUAUGCCGCAGGUAAGGCCCUAAAAAGAAAAAUAAAUAAAGAAGGAAACCUCAAAGGAAAUUAAAACGGACCCCUUGCUCCGUCCACACAGUCAGGACAGAUGUGGGGUGCCACAUCCGGCGCUUCAGGGCAACAGGAGAUCCUGGAAGAGGGACCACGCAGCGUAAUAAAACACACAAGACUCUUUCGCAUCUAGAAAGUGGGGGACCAGGAGGCCCUCCGUUCCGCAGAACCAAGGCGCCCAGGCUUUAGCCCACAUGCCUUUUAUCAGGGAAGGUGACGUAGGUUCGUGAGCAAAAUCAGGUGCAGGUAAUGAUAAAACUCUCUCGGUGGCUGUGCUUUUGCACAUGCGCUGAGUUUGUUUAUUGCUUCGGUCGGCAGUUUCACUGGUCUCCAGCAGUGGGGUCCUGGCCAUGUCCAGCCCCCGUGAGUUUUCCCCAAAGGAAAGUGGGAGGCGAUAUCGGAGAAGCAGAGCGUUGUGAGCGCCCAAAGCCUUCACCCUUUUCGAAAGUAGGUGCCCGCCUGACGGGUGUGCAGCUUUGCCCUGAAACAGUGGGCCACCUGGCGGCACUGGGCGUCCAGGACUCAGCCUUGCAGGCGGACGUGGGGUGUUUCCUCCCCAGCCCUGCCUGGUGCUGGAGGGGAGUUCUGGUCUCUUCCGAGGCCAAGGUGCUUCCGCAGGGUGGCUGGAGCACGCGUGCUUGCUGCAGGCCCAGUGCCAGCCGGGCAGUGGCCUGGAGACCACGGGGCAGAGCCGGAGCGCCAUGCUCCUCUCUGCGUGGCUGUGCUGCGUGUGGACGAGUCCUCAGAAAGAGAAAAACUGCUCUCCUGAGAACAGGUGGUCCAGGUGGGGACAUUCGCCUGAAGCCACACCUGCAGAACCGGAAUGGCGUGCAGACUGGACGCUCCGGGAGGCAGAGGGUUUGGGGCUCCUCCAGGCCUGGUCUCAGUGCUCACACAGUCAGUGCCCAGGCCCGCGAAGAUGCACCAGGACUGUAUGCCUUAGUAGAGUGA
rnacentral:lncRNA from 1 species